UUUUUUAAAAGAUUCAAGCAUCCCUGUCAUUAUAUGCAUCACACCCAGCUUUGUGUUUCCAAAAGGGUAGCAUAGUUACAUGCAGGUGAUGUCAAGAACUAACCAUGGAAUAGAGCCCACAAGCUGGUUUAUAGCCUCACAGUUUAUGAAGCCAGAUGGGAGUGUUUUAAAGCAGCAUCCAUCGCUAAGCUAACCUUCUGCAAGAGGUGAAAUAAAGUUCUUUUUAAAAGUCGCCAAAGAAUCUGCCUCACUUAAGAAACCUGUGGCAUUUAAAGGAACAGUUCCAAUAACUUGUUGGAAAGUCCUUUAAAAAUAUAUUAUUUUUCGUCUUUUUAUAAUAGCUUGCUUGCAGCAUAAAUGUGGUUUUCUAGACAUGGAUGUAAACCUCACAACACCAUCCAACAUUGAUACUCUGACUAGCAAAGUAAUUUAUUGAUACCUGGAAAGAAUUAGGCAUUUUCUAUACAGACACCAGUAUUUUUGAUAAAUUCCUUAUGUGGCAGAAACUCAACAUGCAUAUGGAUGUGCCUUAUUUUGGCUACACCUGGUUAUUAUACCAAGUUUUGUGUGAGUAUGGCUUCCUCACUCAAGACUGGCUCAUAGCCACUGAAAGCUCAGAUGUUUCCAUUUAAAAAUUGAUGUGUGGUUAUAAAUAUAGAGAAAAUACACCUGUGAUCCACCGAAGACCUCAGCAUAUAAAUUAACUAGGCUUUAUAAAAAUGGAGGCCAGAAACCUUUGUCUAAAAAAGCCCAAAGUCUUCCACUCAAGAAGUUACCUUGGAUGUAGAUCAGACAAAGCAUCAUGUGCUAUAAACUAGGCUUUUAACUUGAUCAGGAACUUUUAUUUAGGUAGAAUUUUUAGAAAGAGAUUUGUGGUUCCAUUUGGUUUUCUCAUACUGACCUAUGUAGUGACUAUUCCUUUACUUACUAAUAUAAAGCCAUGCUCUCUGAGGAAGUUACCUUGCAAGAGAUUUUAAAACAUCGAUAUUUUUAGAGAAGUUAUUGAUAAUUUACCAAGGCAUAAAAUUGUUCUAACACUACAUCUCAUUGGUAAAAUUUCCAAACUUUAUUAUACCCAUGUGCAGCAUUUGCUUAUCAACGUUUUGCAAUAUAAAUGCACUGGACCAGAACUGGAGAGGCUGGGCUUUCUGCCACACUUCAGCUGCCUUCUCUACCUCAGCUGUGGAAAUGCGGACAUUUGGUUUUUUUUUCAAUUGUGAGUGAACAUAUAUUCACUCAUCAAAUGUUUUUGAAUGGCUACUAUAUCCUAUAGUGCACAUACACAUUUAGUUAUAUAACAUGUAUGAUAUAGUUACAUGCGUACAAGGGUGUGUUAUAAUAAAAAGGUAAUUUUUACUGUUAUAAAUAAAGACACUGUUUCAGCUUGUAAGGUGCUUCCAUUCAAUUUCCAGGUAUAAGAUUUUGAUAAGCUUUUAAGUGCAAAUUUUGUAAGAGAAUGUUGAGAUAUCAUAAAGUAAUAAAUUUUAAGAUGAAUUUUAUUAACACCUAAGGAGAGAAAUUAAAGAUGGCUCUGACUGAGGCUCAGUGUGUUUGAAAGGGCUGGUAAUCUAGUCCCGUCUCAUCACCAACUUUCAGAGGCACUCAAAGUAUCUGAAUAAGUGCUGAUAUGGCAUAGCUAUCUUAAAUUGGCUUCUCCAAUCUUAUGCUUAUCUAGGACUUCAGAGGAGGCCUUGCCUUAUUAUCAUUGCCCUCCAGGAAAAGAAGAGUCACAACCUGUAUCAAGUGUUAAACAACCCUGACUCUUAAGAAAUCAUUUAAGUUAACCUCCAGCCUUCAUGCUGCAAUCUUAACCUGUCUCAUAUGUCCCCAGGAGAUAUUUAUUAAAUUUCGCCUUGUUGUUUUUUCCUUCAAUCUGAAUAAUGCCAGUUCCUGUCUUUCUAAAAUUAAUCCUUCAUUUUUUCAAGUGUACUAUUGAGGUUAUUAUAUUUAUUUUCCAUUUGAUAUUGUAAAAACACUAGCUCUUUGAUUAAGAGCCUGUUUGGCUUAGAGGAUUAGAAUAGGUCAGAAAUGUUUCUCCUCUGGGUUACUGGAUCACAUCUGGUCCAGGUCAGUGGUGAUACCGAUGUAAGUGACUCUUCUCAUUGGUCUAUACAAACACUGUCCAAUAGAAAUAUGAUAUGAGCUAUACACAUAAUUUUAAACGUCCUAGUAGCCACAUUGAAAAGAGUGAAAAGAAACAGAUGAAAUUAAUUUUAAUAACAUAUUUCAUUUAACUCAGUAUACUCCAAAAUUGGUAUUUCACCAUGUAAUCAACAAAAAAUUAUUAAUGAGUUUACAUUCUUUUUUUAAAGUCAGUCUUUGAAAUUUAGUGUGUAUUUCAUCUUUGCAGUGCAUGUCAAUUUAUACUAGUCACAUUUCAAGUGCUCAGUAGCCUCGUGUGGCUAGUGGACUGCACCGUUCCACACAGGUCUGCAGGAGACGGUUUGAGCGAGCCUUGCUCAAACACAGACAUCUUGCUCACCAAGCUUCAUAGGCUCAGUGGGUAUGAAAACUGAAAUUCAUUUUUCCUGUUGGAGGUGGUCAUUGUUUCCAGUGUCUGUGCUAUUUAUUGCAAGUUUGAAGAGUGGUCAUUAGAGUCAGUUUUUUAAAAAACUAUUUAUUACUGAGGAGAUGCAUGUAUACAAUUUACCAUCUUUACCAUUUUAAGUGUACAGUUCAUGGUAAUAAAUACAUUUAUAUUCUUUUUUCUCCUUCGUCUUCUUUCCCCCUACACUUCCUGGCCUCUGGUAACUACCAUUCUAGUUUUUGUCUUCUAAGAUCCACUGUUUUUGCUCCCACAUAUGAGUGGGAACAUGCAAUAUUUGUCCCUCUGGGCUUGGCUUAUUUCACUUAACAUAAUGGCCUCCAGUUCCAUCCACGUUGCUGAAAAAGUCAAUGGAUGCAGCACACCAACAUGGCACAUGUAUACAUAUGUAACAGAACUGCACGUUAUGCACAUGUACCCUAGAACUUAAAGUAUAAUAAAUAAAUAAAUAAAUAAAAUAAAAUAAAAUAAAACAAAAUAAAAUAAAAUUACCUACUACUCCUUAACAAAGAGAGACCUUAAGUGUGCCCUUUGUCUAUAUACCCUUUACCAUGGCUCUGUUUUCAGAGUCAAUCAGUUAGUGGAACAAUAUUUCUUAGGGCUAGGCAGGGUUAAAGCAUAAGGAAUGAGCCAUGGGUGGCAGAGUCCCGGUCCUCCGGGUGAAAUUACUUCUCACAAGUUUUGUCCUGUGAGGGGCUAACAGAGAUCUUUCAGACUGGCAUAGUACUUCUUGAGUAUUAAAAUUUAAAAAACAAAAGCUUCAGUCAUUUUCUUUUUGCACUAUAACAUUCGAUUUGACAAGUUUUCUGGGAAAUAAAAUCUUCCUGGCAAACAAGUGAAUCCAAUUGUUCCUUUUUAUAAAUACCUUGUAAGUGACUGUGCAAAAUGAUGCUAUUUAUUUCAUCUUGUCUUCAGUACCAUAUCAUAUCUGAUUUCUUUCCUUCUUAAAAGUAAUAGGAAAGGGGAAAAUGCCAGAAAGCCAAAGAAUAAUAGAAAUAAAAAUCAUGAAUCUGUAAAAUUUCAGGUAUUCUGUGGGCAGGAGUAUCCUAUUUACAGACAGAAGCCCGCUAAGAAUGGGCAGAAUAGUCUCCUGCUUAACCAAGUGAGGCACGUUGUUCUGAUCUCAGCUGAAAGUUAAGACUGAAUUCUCAUUAAAUGUUCUACCA
rnacentral:lncRNA from 10 species